GGUCAAGUGAAGAAGCGCAUACGGUGGAUGCCUUGGCAGUCAGAGGCGAUGAAAGACGUGGUAGCCUGCGAAAAGCUUCGGGGAGUCGGCAAACAGACUUUGAUCCGGAGAUGUCUGAAUGGGGGAACCCAGCCAUCAUAAGAUGGUUAUCUUACGCUGAAUACAUAGGCGUAAGAGGCGAACCAGGGGAACUGAAACAUCUAAGUACCCUGAGGAAAAGAAAUCAACCGAGAUUCCCUUAGUAGUGGCGAGCGAACGGGGACUAGCCCUUAAGUGGCUUUGAGAUUAGCGGAACGCUCUGGAAAGUGCGGCCAUAGUGGGUGAUAGCCCUGUACGCGAAAAUCUCUUAGUCAUGAAAUCGAGUAGGACGGAGCACGAGAAACUUUGUCUGAAUAUGGGGGGACCAUCCUCCAAGGCUAAAUACUACUGACUGACCGAUAGUGAACUAGUACCGUGAGGGAAAGGCGAAAAGAACCCCGGAGAGGGGAGUGAAAUAGAUCCUGAAACCGUAUGCGUACAAGCAGUGGGAGCCCACUUUGUUGGGUGACUGCGUACCUUUUGUAUAAUGGGUCAGCGACUUAUUUUCAGUGGCGAGCUUAACCGAAUAGGGGAGGCGUAGCGAAAGCGAGUCUUAAUAGGGCGUCUAGUCGCUGGGAAUAGACCCGAAACCGGGCGAUCUAUCCAUGGGCAGGUUGAAGGUUGGGUAACACUAACUGGAGGACCGAACCGACUACCGUUGAAAAGUUAGCGGAUGACCUGUGGAUCGGAGUGAAAGGCUAAUCAAGCUCGGAGAUAGCUGGUUCUCCUCGAAAGCUAUUUAGGUAGCGCCUCAUGUAUCACUGUAGGGGGGUAGAGCACUGUUUCGGCUAGGGGGUCAUCCCGACUUACCAAACCGAUGCAAACUCCGAAUACCUACAAGUGCCGAGCAUGGGAGACACACGGCGGGUGCUAACGUCCGUCGUGAAAAGGGAAACAACCCAGACCGUCAGCUAAGGUCCCAAAGUUAUGGUUAAGUGGGAAACGAUGUGGGAAGGCUUAGACAGCUAGGAGGUUGGCUUAGAAGCAGCCACCCUUUAAAGAAAGCGUAAUAGCUCACUAGUCGAGUCGGCCUGCGCGGAAGAUGUAACGGGGCUCAAACCAUACACCGAAGCUACGGGUAUCAUCUUCGGAUGAUGCGGUAGAGGAGCGUUCUGUAAGCCUGUGAAGGUGAGUUGAGAAGCUUGCUGGAGGUAUCAGAAGUGCGAAUGCUGACAUGAGUAACGACAAUGGGUGUGAAAAACACCCACGCCGAAAGACCAAGGUUUCCUGCGCAACGUUAAUCGACGCAGGGUUAGUCGGUCCCUAAGGCGAGGCUGAAAAGCGUAGUCGAUGGAAAACAGGUUAAUAUUCCUGUACUUCUGGUUAUUGCGAUGGAGGGACGGAGAAGGCUAGGCCAGCUUGGCGUUGGUUGUCCAAGUUUAAGGUGGUAGGCUGGAAUCUUAGGUAAAUCCGGGAUUCUAAGGCCGAGAGCUGAUGACGAGUUACCCUUUGGGUGACGAAGUGGUUGAUGCCAUGCUUCCAAGAAAAGCUUCUAAGCUUCAGGUAACCAGGAACCGUACCCCAAACCGACACAGGUGGUUGGGUAGAGAAUACCAAGGCGCUUGAGAGAACUCGGGUGAAGGAACUAGGCAAAAUGGCACCGUAACUUCGGGAGAAGGUGCGCCGGUGAGGGUGAAGGACUUGCUCCGUAAGCUCAUGCCGGUCGAAGAUACCAGGCCGCUGCGACUGUUUAUUAAAAACACAGCACUCUGCAAACACGAAAGUGGACGUAUAGGGUGUGACGCCUGCCCGGUGCCGGAAGGUUAAUUGAUGGGGUUAGCUAACGCGAAGCUCUUGAUCGAAGCCCCGGUAAACGGCGGCCGUAACUAUAACGGUCCUAAGGUAGCGAAAUUCCUUGUCGGGUAAGUUCCGACCUGCACGAAUGGCGUAACGAUGGCGGCGCUGUCUCCACCCGAGACUCAGUGAAAUUGAAAUCGCUGUGAAGAUGCAGUGUAUCCGCGGCUAGACGGAAAGACCCCGUGAACCUUUACUAUAGCUUUGCACUGGACUUUGAAUUUGCUUGUGUAGGAUAGGUGGGAGGCUUUGAAGCGUGGACGCCAGUUCGCGUGGAGCCAACCUUGAAAUACCACCCUGGCAACUUUGAGGUUCUAACUCAGGUCCGUUAUCCGGAUCGAGGACAGUGUAUGGUGGGUAGUUUGACUGGGGCGGUCUCCUCCUAAAGAGUAACGGAGGAGUACGAAGGUGCGCUCAGACCGGUCGGAAAUCGGUCGUAGAGUAUAAAGGCAAAAGCGCGCUUGACUGCGAGACAGACACGUCGAGCAGGUACGAAAGUAGGUCUUAGUGAUCCGGUGGUUCUGUAUGGAAGGGCCAUCGCUCAACGGAUAAAAGGUACUCCGGGGAUAACAGGCUGAUACCGCCCAAGAGUUCAUAUCGACGGCGGUGUUUGGCACCUCGAUGUCGGCUCAUCACAUCCUGGGGCUGAAGCCGGUCCCAAGGGUAUGGCUGUUCGCCAUUUAAAGUGGUACGCGAGCUGGGUUUAGAACGUCGUGAGACAGUUCGGUCCCUAUCUGCCGUGGACGUUUGAGAUUUGAGAGGGGCUGCUCCUAGUACGAGAGGACCGGAGUGGACGAACCUCUGGUGUUCCGGUUGUCACGCCAGUGGCAUUGCCGGGUAGCUAUGUUCGGAAUAGAUAACCGCUGAAAGCAUCUAAGCGGGAAACUAGCCUCAAGAUGAGAUCUCACUGGAACCUUGAGUUCCCUGAAGGGCCGUCGAAGACUACGACGUUGAUAGGUUGGGUGUGUAAGCGCUGUGAGGCGUUGAGCUAACCAAUACUAAUUGCCCGUGAGGCUUGACCAU
rnacentral:rRNA from 1 species